AUGAAAUUACUGCUGACCUUCCACAGGUGUGCAAGCUGGCUGUGGUAUGGCUGUGCUUAUCAGGUUUCCCCAAGUGUGGCAGUGCAGCUUGAUAAACUGGGGAAGCUCAUUAUGUUCAACAGCUGGGCUCUUGCAUAUGCACUUCUACUUUCUCAAAUGACUGAGAUUAAACACUGCUAUGCUGUUGCUUCUAGACUUGCAUGUUUUUGCUAUCCUACCUGUGUCAAUGUUAGUGGCUUUUUGGAGUCAAAUAGGUGGGGUGUGGGACAGGAUGCCUUGCUGAUACCUGGAGCGGUGGUGUUCUGCAGGAAGGACAGGAGGAACACAGCUGCUCCAAGACAUGCUUUUGGCACAGCAAAGGAACUAAUGAACGAGAUGCUUAUGAGCUUAUGCAAUGGAGAAAACUGUACAGAAGAAAAAGCUUAG
rnacentral:lncRNA from 1 species